rnacentral:rRNA from 1 species
UUAAGUUAUUAAGGGCGCACGGUGGAUGCCUUGGCACUAGAAGCCGAUGAAGGACGUUACUAACGACGAUAUGCUUUGGGGAGCUGUAAGUAAGCUUUGAUCCAGAGAUUUCCGAAUGGGGAAACCCAGCAUGAGUUAUGUCAUGUUAUCGAUAUGUGAAUACAUAGCAUAUCAGAAGGCACACCCGGAGAACUGAAACAUCUUAGUACCCGGAGGAAGAGAAAGAAAAUUCGAUUCCCUUAGUAGCGGCGAGCGAAAUGGGAAGAGCCCAAACCACAAGCUUGCUUGUUGGGGUUGUAGGACACUCUAUACGGAGUUACAAAGGACGACAUUAGACGAAUCAUCUGGAAAGAUGAAUCAAAAGAAGGUAAUAAUCCUGUAGUCGAAAAUGUUGUCUCUCUUGAGUGGAUCCUGAGUACGACGGAGCACGUGAAAUUCCGUCGGAAUCUGGGAGGACCAUCUCCUAAGGCUAAAUACUCUCUAGUGACCGAUAGUGAACCAGUACCGUGAGGGAAAGGUGAAAAGCACCCCGGAAGGGGAGUGAAAUAGAACCUGAAACCGUGUGCUUACAAGUAGUCAGAGCCCGUUAAUGGGUGAUGGCGUGCCUUUUGUAGAAUGAACCGGCGAGUUACGAUUUGAUGCAAGGUUAAGCAGUAAAUGUGGAGCCGUAGCGAAAGCGAGUCUGAAUAGGGCGUUUAGUAUUUGGUCGUAGACCCGAAACCAGGUGAUCUACCCUUGGUCAGGUUGAAGUUCAGGUAACACUGAAUGGAGGACCGAACCGACUUACGUUGAAAAGUGAGCGGAUGAACUGAGGGUAGCGGAGAAAUUCCAAUCGAACCUGGAGAUAGCUGGUUCUCUCCGAAAUAGCUUUAGGGCUAGCCUCAAGUGAUGAUUAUUGGAGGUAGAGCACUGUUUGGACGAGGGGCCCCUCUCGGGUUACCGAAUUCAGACAAACUCCGAAUGCCAAUUAAUUUAACUUGGGAGUCAGAACAUGGGUGAUAAGGUCCGUGUUCGAAAGGGAAACAGCCCAGACCACCAGCUAAGGUCCCAAAAUAUAUGUUAAGUGGAAAAGGAUGUGGCGUUGCCCAGACAACUAGGAUGUUGGCUUAGAAGCAGCCGUCAUUUAAAGAGUGCGUAAUAGCUCACUAGUCGAGUGACACUGCGCCGAAAAUGUACCGGGGCUAAACAUAUUACCGAAGCUGUGGAUUGUCCUUUGGACAAUGGUAGGAGAGCGUUCUAAGGGCGUUGAAGCAUGAUCGUAAGGACAUGUGGAGCGCUUAGAAGUGAGAAUGCCGGUGUGAGUAGCGAAAGACGGGUGAGAAUCCCGUCCACCGAUUGACUAAGGUUUCCAGAGGAAGGCUCGUCCGCUCUGGGUUAGUCGGGUCCUAAGCUGAGGCCGACAGGCGUAGGCGAUGGAUAACAGGUUGAUAUUCCUGUACCACCUAUAAUCGUUUUAAUCGAUGGGGGGACGCAGUAGGAUAGGCGAAGCGUGCGAUUGGAUUGCACGUCUAAGCAGUAAGGCUGAGUAUUAGGCAAAUCCGGUACUCGUUAAGGCUGAGCUGUGAUGGGGAGAAGACAUUGUGUCUUCGAGUCGUUGAUUUCACACUGCCGAGAAAAGCCUCUAGAUAGAAAAUAGGUGCCCGUACCGCAAACCGACACAGGUAGUCAAGAUGAGAAUUCUAAGGUGAGCGAGCGAACUCUCGUUAAGGAACUCGGCAAAAUGACCCCGUAACUUCGGGAGAAGGGGUGCUCUUUAGGGUUAACGCCCAGAAGAGCCGCAGUGAAUAGGCCCAAGCGACUGUUUAUCAAAAACACAGGUCUCUGCUAAACCGUAAGGUGAUGUAUAGGGGCUGACGCCUGCCCGGUGCUGGAAGGUUAAGAGGAGUGGUUAGCUUCUGCGAAGCUACGAAUCGAAGCCCCAGUAAACGGCGGCCGUAACUAUAACGGUCCUAAGGUAGCGAAAUUCCUUGUCGGGUAAGUUCCGACCCGCACGAAAGGCGUAACGAUUUGGGCACUGUCUCAACGAGAGACUCGGUGAAAUCAUAGUACCUGUGAAGAUGCAGGUUACCCGCGACAGGACGGAAAGACCCCGUGGAGCUUUACUGUAGCCUGAUAUUGAAAUUCGGCACAGCUUGUACAGGAUAGGUAGGAGCCUUUGAAACGUGAGCGCUAGCUUACGUGGAGGCGCUGGUGGGAUACUACCCUAGCUGUGUUGGCUUUCUAACCCGCACCACUUAUCGUGGUGGGAGACAGUGUCAGGCGGGCAGUUUGACUGGGGCGGUCGCCUCCUAAAAGGUAACGGAGGCGCUCAAAGGUUCCCUCAGAAUGGUUGGAAAUCAUUCAUAGAGUGUAAAGGCAUAAGGGAGCUUGACUGCGAGACCUACAAGUCGAGCAGGGUCGAAAGACGGACUUAGUGAUCCGGUGGUUCCGCAUGGAAGGGCCAUCGCUCAACGGAUAAAAGCUACCCCGGGGAUAACAGGCUUAUCUCCCCCAAGAGUUCACAUCGACGGGGAGGUUUGGCACCUCGAUGUCGGCUCAUCGCAUCCUGGGGCUGUAGUCGGUCCCAAGGGUUGGGCUGUUCGCCCAUUAAAGCGGUACGCGAGCUGGGUUCAGAACGUCGUGAGACAGUUCGGUCCCUAUCCGUCGUGGGCGUAGGAAAUUUGAGAGGAGCUGUCCUUAGUACGAGAGGACCGGGAUGGACAUACCUCUGGUGUACCAGUUGUCGUGCCAACGGCAUAGCUGGGUAGCUAUGUGUGGACGGGAUAAGUGCUGAAAGCAUCUAAGCAUGAAGCCCCCCUCAAGAUGAGAUUUCCCAACUUCGGUUAUAAGAUCCCUCAAAGAUGAUGAGGUUAAUAGGUUCGAGGUGGAAGCAUGGUGACAUGUGGAGCUGACGAAUACUAAUCGAUCGAAGACUUAAUCAA